GCCUCUUGCUUAUAAAACAUAAGAGGUACUGCCUGCCCUGUGACAUAUGUUCAACGGCCGCGGUAUCUUGACCGUGUGAAGGUAGCGUAAUCAUUUGUCUUUUAAAUGAAGACCUGUAUGAAUGGCAUAACGAGGGCUUAACUGUCUCACUUUCCUAGUCCAUGAAAUUGAUCUCCCCGUGCAGAAGCGAGGAUAUUUACAUAAGACGAAAAGACCCUGUGGAGCUUUAAAUAGAACACAGAUCUCUUAAUAUAUACUAGACGAACCUGCAGUUAUAUUUUCGGUUGGGGCGACCAAGGAGAAAAACAUAUCCUCCACGCAUAAACGUACCAAACUUUUAGAAACAAGAACCACAACUCUAAAUUCCAGAUACUUCUGAUUUUAAAGAUCCGGCCUAUACGACCGAUCAACGAAUCAAGUUACCCCAGGGAUAACAGCGCAAUCCCCUUCUAGAGCCCCUAUCAACAAGGGGGUUUACGACCUCGAUGUUGGAUCAGGACAUCCUAAUGGCGCAGCCGCUAUUAAGGGUUCGUUUGUUCAACGAUUAAAGUCCU
rnacentral:rRNA from 1 species